rnacentral:lncRNA from 1 species
AAUGUCAUUGAGGGUGUAGUAACCUGGUGUGCAGGCUCCAGACACACCAGUCCUGUGGACUGAACCUAGGCCCUUACACAGGCUAGGCCACACCACUCUACUACUGAGUGAUAUCCCAGCCUUUCCUCAUUCUCCCUACAGUAACAAAAAUAGUCCCAGCAAUUCCGGACUAGCAUUAGCAUCUUAGCUUGUGCUCCCAGUAGAAAAGAUUCCCUUGUCCCUACUCCCCAGUGACUUCAGGAAAAAACAAAACAGUCUCCCAAGUCUCAUAGUGGCCUACCUGGGUUGUGAUCUGAUCCUGAUUCUGUCACUCUGACUCAGACACACCCGACCUGGGCACUGUGCCCACCACAAGAAGAGGAAAGGCUAGAGUCACUCUACCAGGACCUCGUGUACUGAAUCCAGGAUGGAGGAGGGACAGUUUCUCAGAAGAAAAACAGGUCCUGGGAUGUUGAACUCAGACUUGGCCAUAAGCGACCUCACCAACUGAGCCACCUCCCCGAGGCCUUGGAGGUGGUUUGUGAGAGCAGCUCCAAGAGAAGAGGAAGUACAAGGAUGUCCAGGGUUGACUGGCACACACUGCAGCUUCUGGGGCCACACCCCUACCUCUUGCUGAUGCACAGGGUCCUCCAGACCAUUGCCCUAUCCCCGCCCCUGGGCUCUGGCUCUACCACCUACGGAAUUAGACCCAGAGUGGCAGUUUCACAAAGGCUGCUGAGAAGAGUGAAGGUUGGAUGUGGGCCGGGCUCAGUCACCUCAGGGCUGUUUAUCCUUCCCAAGCAGCCGGUCAUGUGCCUGGCUAUUUGCAGCUGAGAGACAGAAGAAAGAACUCCGGGAACUAGAAAGUCGCUGCUUCCUGGAUUUGGGUGUGGAUUUGGAUCAGGUGACCUGACUGUUGCUUAGAGGCCUGGCUUCUGUCUUCACCAUUAGUUCUUACUACAGGGAAAGCAAGCAACAACCGGGAUGUCCACAGGUUCUCCCUAGGUCAAGUGGCCACCCCAAGGCCCAGGUCUGUCAUUUGGCUCAUAAACAAGGACAAGUACAGGAAAGUGGUACACUCUGCCCGUAGCUCUGACUCUUUUGUUUUGUUUUAGAUUUAUGUGUGUGUGUGUGUACACUAUUGCUGUCUUCAGACACUUCAGAAGAAGGUGUCAGAUAUCAUUACAGAUGGUUGUGAGCCACCAUGUGGUUGCUGGGGUUUGAACUCAGGACCUCUGGAAGAACAGUCAGUGCUCUUAACCUCUGAGCCAUCUCUCCAGCCCCGUAGCUCUGAGUCUUAGCACACCAGAGCCUAGGAAAUGUACAGGUCAUGAGUUGUUUGUUUUUGUUUUUGUUCAUUUUUUUGGUUUUUUUCGAGACAAGGUUUCUCUGUGUAGCCCUAGCUGUUCUGGAACUCACUCUGUAGACCAGGCUGGCCUCGAACUCAGAAAUCUGCCUGCCUCUGCCUCCCGAGUGCUGGGAUUAAAGGCGUGCACCACCACUACCCGGCUAUGAGUUAUUUUUGUUUGUUUGUUUAUUGAGACACAGUUUCUCCGUGGAACAGUCCUGGAUGUCCUAGAACUUGAUUUGUAUACCAUCCCAGCCUUGACCUCACAAGAGAUCCAUUUGCCUCUGCCUCCAUAGUACUGGGACUAAAGGCACGGGUCACCACACCCAGCCAGGUGGCGAAUUCUAACUGUGUCACAGUUGUCACCUAAAUCCACUUCACUCUGCCAGUUCUGGGGCACCCACAUGGGCCUGUUUGAGACCUCAAUAAGCCUGGAGGGUAAAGACAGCCCCCUUCUCCAUUGGCCAGAAAAAGAUACGGUGUAGAAACGCAGCACUGAUGACCCAGCAUGCAUUUCUUCCUGUCUUCCAACCCUUGGCCCACAGAGGCUCUGGGAGUUGAUCACACCAACCUCAGGAUCUUUGCUCCCACUCUGUCUCCCCUCUCCCUCCUAGCCGCUGACAUCUUCUCCAACAUACAGCAUGCCCUGGCUACCAACUACCCUACCCUGCCUUGACCUCAUGUUUCCACCAAAAGAAGUUUAGAUUGUUCAGCGUCGUCUUCCGGCCAGGCUCCCUCACGAUCUUGGGAACUUGCUGAGAGAUUGUGUCCCCAUCUACAUCCAAUCAACUGUACCCAAGAGGCAGCGCGCCACAUGGUCCCACCCUGGCUGUCCCUGAGGAGGGUAUGUCAGGACAGUUACACUAAGGCU